UUCUCUGUAUAUACCUAACCAAUGCCUCAUAUGUGAAAAACUUAAACAAUAUUUGAUUAGACUACGUGUUUGAAAUGACAUAGCAAAAGACUUGACUGAACUUGUUGACCCAGUCUCCAAUGUCUUCCUUGUUUACUAUCCUGUUAGCAUUGCACCAGUCCCAGAAGAAUCCGUGUCUUCUCUACACACACUGCUGGAUUGUCAGCAGCAGCCUUUCAGUCGGGAGCUUCAUGCAGGGAAACAUGCGCCGCACGCCACCCACUCAACACCUGCAGCAACAACCCACCUGCCGAGUUCAGAGCUCUGCUACAGAAACCUCGGGGAGCGGAGUGAAAUCCUUCGGGGAGCGGAGUGAAAUCCUUCGGGGAGCGGAGUGAAAUCCUUCGGGGAGCGGAGCGAAAUCCUUCGGGGAGCGGAGCGAAAUCCUUCGGGGAGCGGAGCGAAAUCCUUCGGGGAGCGGAGCGAAAUGUUGCCACUCAAAGAGCUUUUGGUUUACCACUGGUUGUUUGUUAGCCUGAUGAUUGAAAAUAGCUUUAGGUGUAUCAACGGUCAUGGUGUUAACCCAAGUGAUUGCCUGAAACUAAGCCGAAUCCUAGCCCUAACCUUUGCUCAGUCAUUCUUUGCCAACCUAAACAACCAAGUCCUUUCCUGCACCCUCUUUGACUUUGAGGACUGCAUUAUAGACUCGUUGGAGCUGGGACACCAUAGUGGCAUGUUGCCACCCUCCUGAGAGACUCAGUGCAGUGGCUGAUGUUGUGGCUUGUGUUUGUCUUCAUCUCUCCCUUCUGUGGAGGUGUCACUGUUUUAUCCAGGAGGCCCAGCCCUCCUCGUCUCUGUGCGGCCCCUGAGACAUUGGGUGAUUUUCAUAUGGGAAGGUAUUUCCAUAUGCAAAAUAUUGAUCAGGGAGGAGAUUGAAUUUGUUGUGUUUUUUUUAACCAGCAAGAGAGAAAGGCAAUACCUCAAAUAUGGCAAUCUAUAAAAGUGUAUAUCCUGCCUUUCCAGGAGUAAAAACACAAUGUUUCAUAUAAGGAUGUAAUGGUGAAAAGCUAUUUGGGCAACCAAUAUUACUAUUCCAGUGUUCACAUCCACUACCCUAAAAAGUGUAAGCAUAAUCCUUGAAGGGUUUGGAGACAGUAACAAAUGAGUUUGAAUGAAUUUAGGAAUUACAUAACUUUGCACCACAAUAGGGAGUCAGAGAUUAUGCCACCAUGAGAUUUUGAGGUCAUGGUCCUCUGCUCACUGUGAGGGAUGCUACCAUGUAAUCACCAAUCAACUAAGCCUAUGCUUAAGGGCUGGCUACAUAUUCAGGCUUCCUCUGAAAAUAAGCCUAUGUCCUACAAAGUAAUGUAUUAUGUUUUAUUUUGUUAUUGAUCUCAUCUACUACCUUGCUGUAAGUACCUUUCCACCUUUUUGCCAGUGUGUUGCUCAUCAUCCUUGAAUUAUUCAUUUAUCCCAAACUCUUCCUCCCCCUCUUCUCUCCCUGUUGCAGGCAAACUGAACACACUCUUCCUCCCCCUCUACUCUCCCUGUUGCAGACAAAACCAAACAAACUGAACACACUCUUCCUCCCCCUCUACUCUCCCUGUUGCAGACAAACUGAACACACUCUUCCUUCCCCUCUACUCUCCCUAUUGCAGACAAAACCAAACAAACUGAACACACUCUUCCUCCCCCUCUACUCUCCCUGUUGCAGACAAACUGAACACACUCUUCCUCCCCCUCUACUCUCCCUGUUGCAGACAAACUGAACACACUCUUCCUUCCCCUCUACUCUCCCUAUUGCAGACAAAACCAAACAAACUGAACACACUCUUCCUCCCCCUCUACUCUCCCUGUUGCGGACAAAACCAAACAAAUUGAACUAAACGCUUGGCUUCAAUAGAUCUCUGUCCUCGCAAUUGAUAAGAGGAAAAUAUCAAUAUCACCAUUUGCCGCAGUUUGGAGAUGAAAACAUAACCCUUCCUUAUUUCUCCAUUGGCCUUAACAUCGAUGUCUGUGGGCGGGAGGAUAGCCUACAACACAAGGAAACUGUCUGACUUUAUUAUUACAUCUGGAUUCCUGCUUAGUACCACUAUAACAGUCUCACUGACUGCAAGUAAACCACUAUAUUUAUUUUUAAAGACUUUGAUUAUCCAUAAUGAAACACUGGGGUUUUCAGGCAUGCUGCUUCUCUUGAAGUUACUGCGUUGUCAAGGGGAUGAGAGAAACAUCUCUACUUGAACAGCGGGGUGACCGGGACACCCCUCAACCCAGGCAGCCUGGAGAAUUCCAUGGCAUGAGACAAACCACUGACCUCUCCCCUCCCUUCCACUGAAACUCUGGGCCUCUCUCUUAGGAUGGUGCAGACAGAGGGGUGACAGAGUCAGGCCACCUGAGGGACUUUGGCAUUGAAACAUGUCUGAAGUGAUAAUUAAUAGGAAUUAGUAUCACCACAAGCAGCACUUAGCAGCAGCCAGUGUUCAGAAGUUGAGAGAGGAAAGUGUAAUUAUGCUCGCACAAGAUUGCCAUAAGUAUGUGCUCUCCCACUGCACAUACCAUUUGAUUCUCUCACUUUAUGUGACAUGUCAAAUGUUCUCAGCAGCGCUGUGUGAUGAUGAAUAAGCUGCACUACCAGCGUUACCAUAUACGUGGGCUGAUAACUGUGACCUGUCAAUAUACAAAUGAUUUAGCUGGAGUUUUUAGUCCCUGUCACAUCUGAAAUUAAUAUACUCUUCAAUCCGAGUGAGAGAUUCCACUUCAUCGGAGGUCAUAGGUACUUCGUUAUUCCGACUGCACUCUAGUUUCUAGAAAAUAAACAUUCAAUAUGAGAGGGAAUGAAUAGAAAGCCGGGAGGUGUAAUUGUCAGGCUGAUGCAGUGCAUCAGUUUUAUAUGACUUUUCUGAAGAAUUAAUGAAUAUGAUAUGGCCAUAUUGUGACAGUUCACAACCCCAAAGCUGCAGGGGAAAACAAAAUGCUUCCAUCACAUUUUCAUGACCUUCUUUAACGAGAUUCUUCUUAGGCAGGCUUUCACCGUGAAUGUUAUCUUUGCAUGUUUUUAACAGCUGUGGUAAAGUUUCCCUGAAAAGUAUUGUUUCAUUUAUAACUUCUAACACCAAGGACAAAAUCACACCCUGCAGGCAGCCUAUGUAAGUUUAAUGUUUUCACAUUUAUGAUUUCUGGACAAUUCUUAAAUAACACCCCAUUCCCCAUAUUGUGCACCAAUUUUGGCCAGAGUGACAUUUGUAAUAUUUUGUAUAGAACCAAAUAUUAUACCAGUUUAUAAAACAACUUUAAAAAGCAAUUGAGGGUUAAUUUUUAACAAUUUCCCAUUGCAUCAGAAGUAGACAUGACAGCAGCAUACUUUACCACUGGAAAAUCUAACCAAUCCUGACAUCCUUUGUUAUAUUAUUCCAAUGAGAUUAUUAGAUGACUAUAUUAAUCCAAAUCAAAUCACUUACCAGUACAUUGGCCUAUCAGUGCUUUCCAAAGCCAAAUAGUAUAGUCAGGUUUAGAUGGACUCUGACAUUUUAAGUCAUAUUAGCCAGCAUAAUAGAUUCAGCUCAGCUCAUCAGAAUUUGUUGGGUUUAGCAGAGUGCGCAUUGACAACAGGACUGUUUGAUAUUUCAGACUAUGGACAAGAUGCUGACAAAUUAAACAGCCAAUACAGACCAGCAGUGUACUUGGUGGUUUUCAACCCACUUUUCUCAAGGUCAAAUUGAGGCCCUUUGCAUCAUGCUGGCAUCUAGCUAUGAAAUGACCCAUUCUAAGCUCUCGGAUCUACUCUGAAAAGCAAAUCUCAUUGAUGAAUUUGGGGGAUUAACAAUUGUCUGUGUUGGGAUACUUGGUGAAUAAAACUGCAGUGCUCAUUACACUGGGCCUACAGUACCUUCCCAGGACUGGAUUAGAAAUUGACUGAAAGAGUCCGGUGUGGGAGUGUCUCUAAGCAUUCAUUAGCAGGUCAGUGUUUUGGUGCAGUAUUAAUCAAGGAUUGUUCACUUAUCCUCCAUACGUUUGUAUCACACACACUCUGCACUGCUCUGUCUCACAACUGUACCGUUCUCCCUGUACCAGAAAUGUUGUAUAGCUACGCGUACGCAGCUAUUUACACUAGCUGUGCGAUAGAUGGCAUGUCAAUGCAUUCUUUAUGAGGGUGUCCAAUAAACUGUAACAGUAAAAACCUGCUCCAUAUCUCACCCAUCAUAUCAAACCAUCAUAUCUUGAUGGCUGCCUUAAUAUAAUGUGAUGAAGGGGGGUUUAUAGAGGACAUCCAUGUAAGACAAAGCUUAACACACAUUGCCAUCAAUUACCUGUCAUCUUAACAUCAAGUUCAGCCGUUUUGGUUUUUCUUUGAGUGAAAUAUUACAAGACCUCCAUUGCGGCUCCGCAAAGUUAAUGUGGCAAUCACAAUAAUUUUACUGCUGCAUUAAACUCUUGGGAAGAUCAUAAAUGUGCAGUCAGCUCUUAUGUCUCGAGUGCAACUGUGACGUGUUGUGCCUCUGAAUCGUUUCCAGGAAGAGUUUUGCCUGUUUUGACUGCUAACAUUGGUUGUCAACAGCAACAAUGUAGAGGGUGAAAUAUGUAUACAGUAUGAGGAAGAGGCCAUGGGAUAAACUGUUUCUGAGUAUGUUUGUGUUGACUAUGGAACUUGACAAAACCAGUUAUGGAAUGUCCGGGAGAAACAAAGAUGACAAAAAUGUGUUGUGAUGGCCAUAGACUGCUGAAUGUGCCAGUAGGUGAGCCUGAUUCGUGAGUUAAUAAUUGGUUGUUUCCUGGUUAAACCAGGCCCAAAAAAUCUAACAGAAGUAUAAAUGGUACAUUUAUCUCAUGUGUAUAAUGAUAGAAUACCACCCACAC